UUGACGAAAAAGAAAAUUGUUCUAUUUUUUCAUUUAUUUGGCGUGAAUUCAGUGUCACCAACCUGUGUCCAUUUGGCGGGAAGUGGAAGUAGAGCUGUAGAGCUUUUUGUUUAUUAUUAUUUGUUGAGGUUGAGUCUUUCAUGUUCAUGACAACCUAAAAAUUUUGAUUGGAAAAUGCAUAUAAGAUAAGGGGGUGGAAAAAUGGAAAUUAGUGGCUUUUUUUUGCAGUUCUGUCUGUUAGUUUUGCGUUUUGCUCUGGCUGGGUCUCUUUUGUUUAAACAAUUAUAAUCAGCUGAAAGUGGUCUACAAAAAAACCAGGAAGGAAACGUAUUAUAGCCUUGUUGUGGCUAUGAAAGAUACCUAUAAAAAGUGUAUUGACUAGUUGGAAGAAACUCCACAUUGUCGAUGCAUAAUAAGAUAUUACUUUAUAAACAAAUAUCAAGACCUAGGAAUGGAACCUGGAUAAUAUAGUCAUCAAGAAGAUAGCAGGAAGUCAUGAGCAACAACAACUUCAUAAGUAUGAGAAUAUUGAGGAAAUCCAGCUCCUCAUAUCUACUACUGGACAAACUAGAAGAUUGAAGAGGACAAAGCCUUUUGAACUAGUUUGAGUGAUAGGUGAUAGUGAAAAGCAGAGCGUAGUGCUUGUGUGCCUGUGUAUGUUAGAAUAGUGCACGAUCUUGUUAGAUUAGAUAAGAGACGCUAUGGGGUAAGCUCUUCAUUUUAAGGAACAGUAGUAAUUUAGGUUAAAUUAAAAUUGCUCAUUGGUCAGUUAUGACCAGAUUGUAAUUCUCUGAUGUUUGGCAAAAAGGGCUUAAGUCAGAAUUGCACAUCAAUAAUGUUUUGAUGAUUUCUGGACCAUAAAAAAAGUGUUGCAGACUUAAACUGUAUGUACCAAUAAAAAGAGCCGAUUUUUCUGGUCCAGAAAUCAUCAAAACAUUAUUGAUGUGCAAUUCUGACUUAAGCCCUUUUUCCCAAACAUCAGAGAAUUGCAAUGUACAAUUCAAUACAAAUGAAUCAUCAUCGUAGUGAUGAUUAUGGAAAAAAAUAUAUGACAAGAUUUUGUGCAAUAAAAAUGUUUAUAUUGAUCAAGGAUGUAUUAUUUGGUAUGGCUACAUAUACUUCUGGUAUAUCGUCGGUGAUGUGACAAUACCUCCUAUCUGCUUUUUCAUGAAUUUUGUAGGAGACGAAAAACCAUUUUUAGGGUCAUCUCUGUUUUCACAUGUAAAUUUUGACAUGUUUUGUAGUAAAUAGAUAAUUGAAUUUACUACAAAACAUGUCAAAAAAUAUCAUAUGAAAACAGGAGGUGACUGUAAAAAAAGUUUUUAGUCUCUCUUACAAAACGGUUAACAGAGGUGACAGUUAAUAGAGAGACAGAUAAUCAAGGUUCCACUGUAUAGUGAAAUUUGGACACCCGACACCCCAUACAAAUUUUAUGGGGGUUUUGUUCGUUUAAACCCCCCCAAACUUUUGUGUAAGUUACAAUUGAAUUAUUAUUGUGGUACUAUUAAACACAAUGUUUUUAAAACUUUUUGGCCUCUUAGUACUUUUUUGAAGUCAGUUUUUAUCGUGAUAUUUUGAAUAUUUGUCAAAUCCACCACAUAUUUGUAUAUGGUUAAGUACGAUUGUAGAGACUAAUAAUAUGAAAAUUUAUUUAUGAUUUACAUUUUUAGGUAUAUUUUGAACCAUUUUAAAAAGAAGCCAUAUCUUGAUAAAAAGAGCUUUAUCGAAAAAAUAGAAAGAGGUAAAAAAGUUUUAAAAACACAGUGUUUAACUAAUGGUACCGCAGAAAUAAUUUAAUUGGAACGUACCCAAAAGUUUGGGGGGGUUAAAGGGAACAAAACCCCCAUAAAAUUUUUAUGGGGUGCACAAAUUUCACUAUAAUUUUUCUUUAAGAUGUUACUGCAAUAAUAUUCUUUCAUGUCCAUUUUCAAUAAAAAAUCUUUAAUAGUUUUCGAUAUAUUCGAAAAAAUCAAUUUUUAUUUUGUAUCUUCAAAGGGCUGUAACUUUUUUUGUGUGCAUAUUUGUACUAAGGUAAGUUAGGUUCAUUCAAAUUAUUUUUGGUCCCAGAAUAUGUGAUUUAAUUUACGACCAAUCUUUUCGGGACACCCUGUAUAAUAAAUGGGAUUAGCUGGCUUAAAAAUUCAUAAUCUACGUUCUGUAGAAAAUAUCCAGUUUUUGGUUUCUUUUUAACUAGAUCUUAAUAUAUAACCAAGCAUUUUAAGACCUUUUUAUUAAUUUUUCGAUGAUAUAUUCGUGUUUUUAGUUUGUUCAAAAUAUUCUAGAUCAGCGGUUCUCAAUCUUUUUGAGUCAGGUACCACCAAAUACGUUUUAUUAUUUUUGGUACCAUCUAACUAAAAUACCUAUCUAGCUAGGUGAUCUAAUUAACUAUAAUUGUGCCAAUAGCGGUGCUGAUUUUGGCUGUAUUGAGUUUUGUGUACCACCUCAAAUAGUGAAAUGUACCACCAGUGGUACAUGUACCACAGAUUGAGAACCGCUGUUCUAGAUGAUUGUACACUAUAAUAGAUAGCCAACUAAAUAAACACAAAAAUUUUAUUUUUGUUACAGCCUGUAUAUAAGUUUACCUAUAUAUACAGUGCAUUACGCACCACCUUAAAAAUUGGGCAUUUUUGAUGUCUCGAAUUUCCUAAACCUGUUGUCCCAUCUAAGUGAUUUUUUUAUAAUAAUAUAGCCUGAGGCUAUAGGUUACUGCCUUAUGCUUGUCAUGCACGGGGAGCUAUACUGUAAUAUAUAUUAUAUCACAUCGCUCUCUAUAGUAAUGAGUAAUGAGUGAGACUGCACAUACGGAACCAUUAGUUCCCUGUCUGCAGGCUCACUCAUUACUAUAGAGAGCGAUAUGAUAUAAUAUACAUAUAUUACAGUAUAGCUCCCAGUGCAUGACAAGCUUAAGGAUGUAACCUAUAGCCUAGGCUAUAUUAUAAAAAAAUCACUCAGAUGGGACAACAGGUUUAGAAAAUUCGAGACAUCAAAAAUGCCCUAUUUUUAAGGUGGUGCGUUAAUUUCUUGGAGAAGUGUAUUGUAAUUUAAUGUAAAUAAUGUAAUAUCUAAUAAUUGUAAUUUAAUAUAAGAUGUAAUAUAAGUUCCUUAAAAAUUUAUUUUUUAUUUCCCACCAUACAUUCUCCACAGGUCUAAAUAUCGAUGCUAGACGUCCACAGGAG